UGAAUACCAGAUGCUACGGCAUUGAAGCAGUCUAUGUCAGACUUCCAAGAAAAGCUCGCAAUGUCAUAAACAAUAAAUGCCUGUACCAUAACCGACACAGGUGGGUAGGUAGAGUAUACUAAGGGGCGCGAGAUAACUCUCUCUAAGGAACUCGGCAAAAUAACUCCGUAACUCCGGGAGAAGGAGUGCCUUAUUUAUAAGGUUGCAAUAGCAAGUUCCAAGCAACUGUUUACCAAAAACACAGGUCUCCGCUAAGUCGUAAGACGAUGUAUGGGGGCUGACGCCUGCCCAGUGCCAGAAGGUUAAAGAAGUUGGUUAGCCUAGCGAAGCUGAUGACUGAAGCCCUGGUGAACGGCGGCCGUAACGAUAACGGUCCUAAGGUAGCGAAAUUCCUUGUCGGGUAAGUUCCGACCCGCACGAAAGGCGUAAUGAUUUGGAUACAGUCUCGGAGAGGGGCUCGGUGAAAUAGACUUGUCUGUGAAGAUGCGGACUACCUGCACCUGGACAGAAAGACCCUAUGAAGCUUUACUGUAACUUGAGAUUGAAAUUGGACUUUAUUUGCGCAGCAUAGGUGGGAGACGUUGAGAGUAUUCUUGCGGGAAUAUUGGAGUCAUCAGUGAGAUACCACUCUUGUAAUGUUAGAUUUCUAACUUUGUAUCAUUAUCUGGUCAAAGGACAGUUUCAGGCGGGCAGUUUGACUGGGGCGGUCGCCUCCUAAACGGUAACGGAGGCGCACAAAGGUUUCCUCUGAACGUGUAGAAAUCGUAUCUAGAGUGUAAAGGCAUAAGGAAGCUUGACUGUGAGACCUACAAGUCGAGCAGGGACGAAAGUCGGUCUUAGUGAUCUGACGGUGCUGAGUGGAAAGGCCGUCACUCAACGGAUAAAAGUUACUCUAAGGAUAACAGGCUGAUCUCCCCCAAGAGUUCACAUCGACGGGGAGGUUUGGCACCUCGAUGUCGGCUCAUCGCAUCCUGGGGCGGUAGUACGUCCCAAGGGUUGGGCUGUUCGCCCAUGAAAGCGGUACGCGAGCUGGGUUCAGAACGUCGUGAGACAGUUCGGUCCAUAUCCGGUGUAGGCGUUAGAAUAUUGAGAGGAGCCUUCUUUAGUACGAGAGGACCGAGAAGGACAUACCUCUGGUGUACCAGUUAUCGUGCCAACGGUAAACGCUGGGUAGCUAUGUAUGGAGUGGAUAACCGCUGAAAGCAUCUAAGUGGGAAGCCCACCUCAAGAUAAGUAUUC
rnacentral:rRNA from 1 species